UAACAGUAGAACAUGACAUUCUUGACGCUGUCCUUGAGUGCAGGAAGGGGCCUGACGGCUCCACCACCUGCAGCACGAGUGCUGCGCGAUGUAGACGAACCUCCUCCACGACCACUCGCCAUUGAACCACUGUCCGAGCUAUCUGACUCCAUGUAGAAACGGGCUCUGAACGCCGCCAGAUGAGCAUAGUAUGCUGGUGGAACUGCAACAGCAAAAUUGGUUAAAAACUUACGUGUAACAGAGGUUGUUGGUGAGGGUCUGCAACGCAUCAGCUGUGAAGUUGUUUUCAUCCCACAGGACGUGGUAAUGAGCGGGACGGCUUGUGCCCUACGGAGAGAUGGGACAUGGCUGCACAAGAAGAAGUCAAACUCCGUAGGAUGGCAAAUCUUGGAAACAAUACUCACCAGGCAAUAUGUUCCCACUCCUGUCGACUGAAUUCUGAUCAUUGUGGUUGUGUGCAAAUAAUCUCGUGUGGUGGCGCUUCUGAACCACAAUGAAAGUCACCUGCGGUUGGUAAUUUGCUUCGAGGGAAAGUUUUACCUUUCGGAUUGCAUCAAGCUCAUGCAAUAGAACCUGGUAAAAUUGCCCUUCACUAACACCAUCCCUGUGAA
rnacentral:sRNA from 1 species